AGGCAGGGGUUGGAGCGUGGCGUGGCUGGGCACCAUGGGGGCUGGGAUGUGACUUGCACGGUUCCCCUAUUUAUAACAAGUGAUUCAGUCCUCACUUACUCACCCCUUCCUGAGCCUGCCCCCCUCCCCCGAGCCCUGGGUGGGCAGCGGGGCCCACCCACUUACCAGUGCCCUGCCUCCCUCCAGCCGGGCGCCAACCUCUGAGGGCUGCCCAUCGGGCCGGUUGUUAUGGUGGCCACGUUGGGCUGGGGGUGAGGGGUGGGGGGCGGGUGGUCAGGCAGCACUUGGCUGGGCAGCCCAGGUUAGCGGCUGGCUCAGGGCCUGGCCCCGGGAGCCUCUGCGGAGAGUCUGGGCCCAUUAGGCAAAGCGUUAGUGACAGGCUGGGAGGGCGGGCAGCAGCAGCGGGCAGGGCGGGGCCUGCAGCCCUUGGUAUUUUCCGAUCCCAGCUGCUCUGAGAGGGUGGAAAGUAUUUGGGGACCAGGCUUGGGGGCGGUGGUGGUGGCGCCCCCGGCGGAAGCUGCCCCUGAUUCAUUCUUGGAGCAUGGGGUUGGCGGGGGGGCAGGCAUUACAGAGUAUGUCUCACGAGUCCACGCCCUGUCUGCAGAGCGUACUCAGACAUACAUCCAUACAUCCAUCCAUCCAUCGGUGUGGCCUGGGGCCUGCUGUGCUCCCUGGGCCCAGGGCCCUUCCUCCCCACAAUGCCUCCAGCUGCCAGGAGCUUGGCCCUCCUUGGACACCAUCUCCCCAGAGCCUGAGAGACACGCCUAUGGUAACGGGGGCCCUGCUUCUGGGCACCUGCAUGACGGUGCCCCCUCCACUCGAGAACCAGGCCUUUUGCGCCUGCGGGGAUGGGGAGUGGCCUUGGCCCCGGCCCGGGGCUCUGUGCAGGGGAAACCCCACAGGAAACGGGCCUGGCCAAAUGGCCGCCCUUCCCGUUCUCGUCCCUGGGACACGAAUGUGCUGUCUCACUUCCGGAGGCGGCCCAGGGAGGCCGGCCGCCCUGCGGGGCCUUGUCUGCUCCCGGUUGGUGCCCCUAAACCUUGAGGGAACAGGGCUGGGCUAGGGCCCGACCGUAAAGCGGGUGGCCGGUGUGUAUGUGUGUGUGUAUGGAGGAGGCACAGAGCAGGACACCUCACUCCACCUGUCUCCCCGUGGCGGCCACCACCUACCAGAUCUGGACACUGGGGUCCUACCCGUGUGCAGCGUCUUCCGUGCCAUCAUCCUUCCUGUUUAUGCCUGGUGAAUGGUGACAGAGUAGCCCCAUUCUAAUUACACACAGCACUCGCGGGAUCCUUACCAUGACAUUAUCCCUGCUUUGCUGAUGGGGAGACGGAGGCCCAGAGAGACUGAGUGACUUGAGAGUCACCCAGCUGGGAAGCUGCAGAGCCAGGGUUCAUAUGCAGCUGGACUGGCUCCAGAGUUGGAUCUCCUAGCCGCAGGGCUCUCAUCACACGGGAGGUCUCUGUUUACUGAACACAGGACUGGCUUCAUGGGCAUGUGACCUGUGCCAUUCACAGGGUCACCCGCCACUGAGAAGGACCUGGAGCUUGGGUUCAUGCUCUGCUGUCGUCUUGGAAUUCUUAAUUUGUGAACAGGGAGCCCCAAGUCUUCAUUUUGCCCUGAGUCCCACAAAUGCUAUAGGUGGUCUCGGUGCCAGGUACUUGCUAGGCAGCACUCUUGGUGAAACCUCACCAUGCUAUGUGAUAGAGACUCUUGGCUCCAUUUUACAGAUGGGGAGACUGAGGCUUGGAGGGCAUUUGGGAAACUGCCGAGCUGGAAUUUGCACCUCGAGCCUGGGUCCGGUGCUCUGGGGGCGCGCAUGCCUCGGGGGAGACCUGGGCGCCCGCUGCCAGCAUCCGCUCACUCUGGUGGGGUGCGGGCUGAGGCCUGACCACCAAGGAGACAGGGCCACGCGGGGUGGCCCUGGUGGUUUCCUCCUGCCCUUCAGGCUUCUAGGAAGUGGCGCCAGCUGGGGUGAGAUCACUUCCUCACCCUCCUGCCCGCCACCCCCUCAGCUUCCUCUCCCCGUGGCCCCAGUUAGCCUGCCCAGGGCUCAGUGGUGAGGAAAGGGAGGGGGGACCUGGCUCUGGGAGCUCCUGCAGGCUCCUUGGCUGAAAGUGACCCUCUGGGUGUCUAUACCUCUCUGGGCCCGGGAGGCAUGGCUGGGGCUGGGGGUAUCCAGCCUGGUGGUCUAGCUCUCUUUAGUGGCUGCUGCACGUGGGGAAAAAGGGCUUCCCUGCAAGACCUCAAAGGAUGGCAGCAAGUGGGGACCUGGAGGGCAGAUGUCCUCAAAUCUCAUUACCUCCUUUUGUCUCUCCUAGGUGCCAGCUGCUGGCCCUGCCCGGUGCCCCCCCACCCCUGUGCCAUGGCCGGCUGGGGUUCCUGGGGAUGGGAUUUGCUGCCUGUCACAAAUCACAUUGCCAGGGAUUUCCAACCGACCCUGAGCCCUGCCUCUGGGGCCACCGCUGUCACUGCUUCCGCUGAGGACACUGACCCAGGGAUGGGGAUGGGGUGGCAGAGAGGCCUCCGCCGCCUGCGUCUGGCCUGGGGAGCAGGGCUUAGCUGCUUGUGAGCAGGUCCACAGCAAGUCGUGUUCACAGUGGCUAAGUUCCGCCCCCCGGGGCCCCGCCUCCUCUGGCCCUGCCACCUCUCCCCUCCGCCUGCCUGUCCGACCUCCGGGCCUCCCUGGGCUCUGCCUCCCGUGCCUACUGAGCUGAAACACAGUUGAUUUGUGCAGACUGGCUCAGUUCAGCAGGAACAGGAGUCAAGCCCCCUUGGAGUCUUCGGCCCCCGCCUGCCUUGGGUGGGCCAUUCGCCUCCUGUGAGAAGAGAUGAGGACCCUGCCCUGGACCUGUGUCUGGAGGAGGAACCUGGGGACGAGUGGAGCCUGGGGUGGGAUGGGUCAACCCCGCUGUCUGCUGCAGGCCCCCUCCUCCAGUUCUGCACUUGGGGACCCUCAGUCCCAUCUCAGGCUGGGCUGUGUUCCCAGGGAGGAUGGGUAGGCAGGCGGGUGGCCAGCCUUUCCAUGAAAAAAAGUGUCCCCGCCUGGCCGACCCUCGGCCCCUCCUCUCCCAAGCUUGGUUGGGGGAUGGCUGGCUCGCAUCUUCCCAGCAGUCAGUUACCCAAGAGGAAGCUGCCUUGGGCCCCCAGACCGUUAAAUGCCAACUCCAGGCUUCCGGAACCAGGCUGGCCUGACCUGAACCUGCCUGGCCCCUUCUCCCUGGGUCUGCGGCUUCCUAACUUGGGGGGGAGGAGCCAUGACACCCUCCUGGCACGUGGGGCAGGGAAUGAGGUCCCUGUGGGCCCAAAGGACACAAACAGGCCCGCUCAGUCCUUGGGUGGUCCCAGGGCAUGGAUGCAUUGAGACUUUGUCCAUCAUCAGAUGGAAUGGGGCUCUUUUGGGGGUGAGACUGGGGAGGCAGUGUGAAGCCCCCCCCCGAGUUGUCUCAGUGUACCCCUGUCCCACUGGGGCAGACAGCAGCUUGGGAAAGUCUAUGCUGUGUGUCGAGCCUGUUGUCCAAUUAAAUAAAAGCUGCCCCCUGCCUCAUUCCUGAA